GACUUUUCUGGAGGCCGCGGGUGAGGAGCACAGCUGAUAUGCCCUUUUUUCUGGUUUGUUGUUAUUUACCUAGCAUUGUAAACUAAGGAGGAAAAGUAACAAAGAGCUUGAAGACUUUCAUGGAGCCCAGGCCCUGGACGGAGGCAGGCGACAUCAGAGAACCAAGAAAGCUGAGGGGCAGCCAGGAGGCACCUGUGGCUGCAGAGCCCAGACGCGGGCAAAUGGCUUGAAGAUGCUGCUGGCCUAGCAAGAUGGCAACAGCUUUGAAAAAUAGGAUUCAUAAGAAGUUCUUUUUUUCCAGUUGUGUUGAUGUUCCUUUCAGCCAAUCCUAUAGUCCCCCCAUCUCAGGAAUGUCUCCCCAGUGACAGGACACAGACUGCAGAGACCGCUGUACUGGUGGACGCUCAAGCCAACUGUGAAGUUGAAACAAAGGAAUCAGGACUCGGUCACCUGAAGACACCUCUUCUGCUAAGCGACACACCCACAUGAUGCAGUUCAGCCAGUAGACUCUCAGAACAAGAGGCAAUCUUUGCAAGAAACAGGAACACUUGAGAAUGACUUCUAGAUUUCUGACUUCCCUUCCUCGUGUGUAUUCCUCUGUUUGUAUUUCAAUUCUGUGUGACAUUCAUCUUUAAAAAAGUGUUUUCUGAUAUGAAUAUGCUUAUCAACACACCCAAUUUUUAAAAUAGAAAAUUUCACACACAUGCUAAUGUUUUAAGGAACAAAAUUCAUGCUAUGAAUUUUAGCCACAUACAAGGUUUGACCUUAAGAGUGACUUAAACAAUAGGAUAUAAAGUUAUUUUGAAACAGCGGAGUCGUCGGAGGUAACUCAAAGGAUAGAAUAACGGUGGUAACUCAGAAUGCAGCGUAGAAAGGCACUACCCUGUGACACCACCAAUCAACCAUGCUUUCUGUCAGGCAAGCUAGGUUCUGCCUCUGCAGAGUUUAAGUUUAGUUAGGCAGAGGUAUGUACGCUUUUGACAAGAUAAGUAACAAAUCAAGUCAAUAGACAAUAACAGUAAAACCAAAGCAAGACAAAAGAUGUAUGAACAAGGAGCUCAGAGGUGGUCACGUUAAACUGGGCAAACUGGUCCGUUUAGGGAAGAAAGUUCGCAAAGGAGGAGGAAAUGAAUCUUAAAAGAUGUUAAAGAUUUCGAUAAAUGGAAAAGAAGGAGAAAAUCGAGUCCUUUAGAUGGAUGUGGUGUUGUGAGCAAAGUCCGGGAAGACUACAUGUAAUUUUAGGGAAUUAUGAUCACACAUGUCUAGUUGCCUUCACCCCAGACUUUCAGUGCCAGUGUGUGUGUAUGUACAUACGUGGUAAAGACUUCAUGGACACAUUGUCCCUCUCCCGCUUCAGGUGUCGCCUAGAAUCAUAAUUGUAUUUCUUCCAUUAAAGCACGUGAGAGUGGCGAUAACAGGAGGAUUUGUGAUUUUUCUCUUGGCCUGAUAACAAUGGAUGUUUAUUGAGUUCUCACUACAUUUUGAGUAUUUUAUACAUCAACUCUCUGAAGCCUCACAACAAUCCUGCAAAAUUUAUCCCCAUUUUACACUAAGAAAACUGAGGUUUAAUGAGGUUAAGUAACUUGCCAAACCACCACAUCCAGGUGUCACAAUCAGAUUUGCCAUCGCAAAGCUCAUGAUCUAAAGCACUAAGUCAAAAUACUACGACCAACAUCACAAUAUGACCACUUCUCUAGUCCUUGAGAUUUUUCUGUGGUAAAUGGUAACAAUUAUCUUCUCAAAUUUUUCAGUUUUCUGGUUAAAUUACACUAAAGUGAUGGAACGUAUUUUUAUCAUGACAGAAAUUGGAGGGGAAAUGGGGUUUAUCAGCAUUUUAGGCUGCUUUGGUGGGUGUCCAGCCUUUGAUGGGACUAUUCAUUUUGGUGAGCAUGAACUCUCCACUUCUUGAGAAUGAAAAUAGAAAGUGAGGGGAGCCUAAAGGUCAUCUAUACAAUGUCCUUUUCUACAGGUGUUGUCAAUCCAUGAAGUUAGAGUGACUUACAGAAGAUCCCACAUUUGCGUGUAGCAAAGCAAGGUCCAGAAACCAUGCCCUCAGCGGCUCUUAAAUAAACAACUGCAUCCUGCCUAAAAGAAGUGUGAGCUUGAAUUUGAUCAAUGACAACAUUCCAUCUGGGUGAUCAGGGGCGGCAUGGAACCUAGUAGACUGCUCAGUUUUGCACCUCUCUGGCUUCUCACCUCAGCGUGAAAAAUAGCUAUAGCUCUGGGCUGACAUCUUUAGAUGCAGGAAUUGUCAGUGGUCCAUCCACACAGAACAUACAAUGGCCCAAGUUAUGUGUACAGUGUCUUCAAUGAUUUGGAAUUCUCAGUUCACCUAAACAGAUCUUCUCAUGAGCAUUUCCUGAACCAAUUUUAUGCACAGUAUAUAUUAGAGCUUCCACAUCAAGAUUUAAACACGACUGUUUCGCUAGUCCUUAUGUUUUUGAUGGUAUCAGUGGUUCUUUGCUAUUUUAACCUUCACUUAUCCAGGUGACUAACUCAAGAAUACUUCAGCAAUAAAAAGCUGGAAUUGAGGAAACCUUAUUCUUUACCAGCCCCUUCGCCUUCAGUUGGCAUUCAGUCAUGCCAAAUAGAGGGGUCAGCUGGAGAACUCAAAUUUGAAAUGCAAUUUUGUCUGAAGUCCGUUAAGCUGUGUUUACUUAAGGGCAAGCUUCUAGAUGUUUGAAAGUACCUGAAUAUUUAACUGUUGUAAAUUUCCAGUUAGAUAUCUGGCAUUGUUGCACUUGGACCUGCUGGUGGCUCAGGUCAUCCUAUUUUCAAAAUGAUCAUUGGCCAUGUGUCACACAAUUCUCAUUAAGUGAGUUCAUAGAGUUUUUUAAGUCAAGCCAAGCACAAAAUGUGACUUUGUUGACAUUUUAUGAGACUUUGUCAUAUGUCCCCUGAACCCCCCAAUAAAAGCACUGUUGCAUCAACUGUGAA
ensembl:lncRNA